rnacentral:rRNA from 1 species
UACGUAGGGUGCAAGCGUUGUCCGGAAUUAUUGGGCGUAAAGAGCUCGUAGGCGGUCUGUUGCGUCGGCUGUGAAAACCCGGGGCUCAACUCCGGGCCUGCAGCCGAUACGGGCAGACUAGAGUUCGGCAGGGGAGACUGGAAUUCCUGGUGUAGCGGUGAAAUGCGCAGAUAUCGGGAGGAACACCAGUGGCGAAGGCGGUUGCCUGGAGCUUUGCUGACGCUGAGGCGCGAAAGCGUGGGGAGCGAUCCGG